rfam:Fervidicoccus fontis Kam940, complete genome.
GGGCCCGUAGCCUAGCCAGGAUAGGGCGCCAGCCUCCUAAGCUGGUGGUCCGGGGUUCAAAUCCCCGCGGGCCCG